GCCCGCCUAGCUCAAUCGGAUAGAGCGUCAGACUCUUACGAACUGAUCAUAAGGGCGGGAGUACAUCUGAAGGCUGCGAGUUCGACCCUCGCGGUGGGCU
rnacentral:tRNA from 1 species